rnacentral:rRNA from 1 species
AGGAUGAACGCUAGCGGGAGGCUUAAUACAUGCAAGUCGUACGGUAACAGGCGUAGCAAUACGUGCUGACGAGUGGCGCACGGGUGAGUAACACGUACGCAAUCUACCUUUAACUGAGGAAUAGCUCCGGGAAACUGGAAUUAAUACCUCAUAACAUCUUGAUGUGGCAUCACAUUGAGAUUAAAACUCCGGUAGGUUAAA